CGUAAUAGCUCACUGGUCGAGAGUCUCUGCGCCGACAAUGUAACGGGGCUAAGUUAUAAACCGAAGCUGUGGAGUUGCGUAAGCGACUGGUAGGAGAGCGUUCUGUAGGCCGUUGAAGGAGAAUCGACAAGAGACUCUGGAGGUAUCAGAAGUGAGAAUGCAGGAAUAAGUAGCGAGAAUGGGGGCGAGAAUCCCCCACGCCGGAAGACCAAGGGUUCCAGGGUAAAGUUUGUCUCCCCUGGGUAAGCCGGGUCC
rnacentral:rRNA from 1 species